UACGUAGGGUCCGAGCGUUGUCCGGCCUUACUGGGCGUCAAGAGCUCGUAGGUGGUUUGUCGCGUUGUUCGUGAAAACUCACAGCUUAACUGUGGGCGUGCGGGCGAUACGGGCAGACUUGAGUACUGCAGGGGAGACUGGAAUUCCUGGUGUAGCGGUGGAAUGCGCAGAUAUCAGGAGGAACACCGGUGGCGAAGGCGGGUCUCUGGGCAGUAACUGACGCUGAGGAGCGAAAGCGUGGGGAGCGAACAGG
rnacentral:rRNA from 1 species